AUUCCAGCUCCAAUAGCGUAUAUUAAAGUUGUUGCAGUUAAAACGCUCGUAGUCGGAUUUCGGGGCGGGCCGACCGGUCUGCCGAUGGGUAUGCACUGGCCGGCGCGUCCUUCCACCCGGAGACCGCGCCUACUCUUAACUGAGCGGGCGCGGGAGACGGGUCUUUUACUUUGAAAAAAUCAGAGUGUUUCAAGCAGGCAGUCGCUCUUGCAUGGAUUAGCAUGGGAUAAUGAAAUAGGACUCUGGUGCUAUUUUGUUGGUUUGCACGCCGAGGUAAUGAUUAAAAGGGACGGUUGGGGUUCUUCGUAUUCAAUUGUCAGAGGUGAAAUUCUUGGAUUUAUGGAAGACGAACUGCUGCGAAAGCGUCGAACAAGGACGUUCUCAUUG
rnacentral:rRNA from 1 species